UGUCUGAGAUGAGUCUCUCACAGAAACAGAGUGCAAGAUCAAGCUCACAUGUGUCCAGCUCUGUGUCUGUGAAGAGUGACUGUUCAAAAGGAGGCAGCGUAUCGAACUUCAGUGAGAAAAAAACAUCAUCUACCAAAAGGUUAAGAGGCUGUGAUAUAACAGAUGAAGGUUGUUCAGCUCUGACUUCAGCUCUGAAAUCAAACCCAUCACACCUGAGAGAACUGGACCUGAGUGAGAAUGAACUUGGAGACUCUGGAAUUGAAAAUAUUAGCAGUCUACUGAAGAACCCACAAUGCAAGCUGGAAAUACUAGCGUGA
rnacentral:lncRNA from 1 species